GAGGACCCCUUGUCCCCGUCCCUAAUUUCCAACCUGACAAAUAAGAUUUUCCAGCAUCAAACCCGCGCCGUUCCGUUUGGCCCCUUCUUACUGGUUGUGUUAAAACUUGAAGCAUUUUUGGCAGACCCAGUGGCAAUGGAACGGUACUAUAAGAAACAGUGUAUAAAUCAUCCUUCAAAUAUUCGGGGUAGUUCUUCUUCUAGUAUUCCAAGUAGUUUUCCUAUUAUUCUAGGUGGUCCUUCUUCGAGUAUAGUAUAGAAAAAGAUGUCGCAUUUUGCCAUUAUUGUUAUCUUUUCAACUUUGAUUUUGAUAAAGUGGGAAAUGAUGGAAGUGAUACCUACACUGAGAAAGGGUUUAGGCAUUGGAGGAAAGGAUCAAAAAAUUUUCGAAAAUUUUCGUCCUUCGCCCCGUCAAUUUCUGGAUUUGCCACUGCAUAUAUGUACAAAUCGAGUUGAGUUGUUGUAAAUAUAUGUAAAUAGGGUUAUUGUAAACAAGUUCGAAAAGCCGAUUGAACUGCAUACUACAUCUAUCUCUUAUGCAAACAUCUAUCUCUUAUGCAAAGACAUUAUAUUUUGUGAUUACACCUUCUAUUAAAAUGUUCUAUUUUGUUUCAUUAUUUACAUUACAUAUUCUUUUUUUUUAUUUUUUAUGUGAUGUAAAUGGCGAAGCUACAUAGGGACGAGGGGACGGCUGCCCCUCCGCUCGCUGGAAAAUAAGCCAAGGAGUGAGUCUUAAGCGCCUUUGCUUCGGCCAGAAACUGGAAAAUACGAUGGCCAUUCUCACUCUCCAUGCUGCUGCGCAGCUCCCCAGGGUUUUAUUUUUUAUUUUUAAACAACAUCGUUUGGGCUUUGGGAAUAAAAGAAUUAAACGAAACGGUGCGUUUCGUAUCAAAGGCAAACAAAGGAUUGAGACAGCGGUGGGUGGAGUCCAAAGGCGGACAACACGCAGAACUCACCACCGUGAAAGUAAACCAAGAUGGGGAGCUUUUAGGUUUUGUUUUGAUGGAUGUUUGGGAGGUAAAGGCGAGCCGAGAUGUUGGGGUUGUCUGAGAUGAUGAUGUCUUCAGAGGAAACACUAGUUUACGGAUCUUGAUCAGGAGAUGGGGGCACGUAUGAAUCUAAUUCCAUGGGUCGCCGUUUAAUUGUGCCAUCAUCAUAGAUUCUGAGGAAAGGUUGGUUUUAAAAGGUGAAUUCAAAGGUGAUGGAAGUCGUUAUCCAUUAGAGAAGAUGGACAGAUUAUGAAGAUGUGUGAAACUUGAGGGAGUGUAUGUACCAAUUAAUACAGGGAGCGUUUUGCAUUAACUUAUUAUAAAACAAGUAAAGAGAGAUUGCAUGUUUGACACUU